UGCAGUGUAUCUUACCCCCCAGAUUUUCAGUGUAACUGCUGUGUAAUUUACUGCGAAAUAUGUUGUAUCUUCACGAUGUCCCUGAACUUACAGUGUAAUACUCCCUUAUUUGAGUGUGUUUUGUCCUCGUAGUACUAUGUACAGUGUAAUUCUCCCAGAAUUACAAUGUAACUUACCUCCCAGAAUUACUGUGUAUGCUUGCAGAUGUUGAGUGUAUUUUAACGUACAAUUACAGUGUAAUUUGACAUAGUAGUACUUUGUAUUUUUCGCCCUAAUUCCAGUGUAAUACAGAUUAUAGUGUACAUUUUCCCCUAAUUACAGUGCAUAUGCCCAGAUUUUUCAGUGUAAUAUGCGCUGGAAUCGAUGUGUAAUAUGUCCUAGGACUGCACUGUAGUUUACCCUACAUUUACACAGUAAUUUAGCCAACUACUCAAGUAAUUUACUGUAUAAUAUGUUUUAGAGACCCUCCAUUUACAGUGUAAUUUUCCCAUUUUACAGUGUAAUAUGUCCUAGAGACAGUGAAUUAAUGUAAUUUGUGCAAGAACUACUGUGUAAUAUGGACUAGAUUUUCUCCUGCAUUUUCAGUGUAAUAUUUUCACAAUUACAGUGUAAUUCUCAGGCUUUUUUACUUUGCUUUUACUGUGUAAUGUGCCUCUGACUUUUAGUGUAAUUUACCCCAUUUCUAUGUAAUUUGCGGCACAGUUACCGUGUACUCUUGCCCUUAUUUUCAGUGUACUUUUAAUGAUUCAGUUAUGUAAUAUGUCCUAGGACUACACUGUAGUAUACCCUACAUUUACACAGUAAUUUAGCCCAACUUCUCAUGUAAUUUACUGUAUAAUAUGUUGUAGAGACCUUCCAUUUACAGUGUAAUACUCCCCAUAUUACAGUGUAAUAUGUCCUAGAGACAGUGAAUUGCUGUAAUUUGUACAAGAACUAUUGUGUAAUAUGGCCUAGAUCUUCUCCUUCAUUUUUUCAGUGUAAUAUUUUCACAAUUACAGUGUAAUUCUCAUGCUUUUUUGUAUUAAAAAUACGUUGUAUCAUGUCCCUAAUUUACAGUGUAAUAUGCCCCUGACUUUCAGUGUUAUUUACCCAAUUUCUGUGUAAUUCGCCGGCACAGUUUCUGUGUAUUCUUGCCCUUAUUUUUAGUGUACUUUAAUUGUUUCAGUUAUGUAAUUCCUGAUUUUUUUCUUCUAUUCUCAACUAGGUGUCCUGUUUACAGUGGAAUUUCCCCAAGAAUUCCCAUGGUUUCUAUAUCUAUUUUUACACUGUAUUUCCCCCGAUUUUUACAGUGUAUUUUUCUUGAUUCAGUUAUGUAACUCUUGAAUUUAUGGCUUUGUUCCUCAUGAUUAUUCUCAUCUGUGUGUCUUGUUUCCACUGUAGUCUUCCCAAGAAUUACUGUAUACCCCUAGUUUUGUAGUGUAAUCGUCUUGCUUAGUAUAUGUAUUUAUAAUGUAUUUUUCGCGCCUAGUUUGUAGUGUAAUGUUUAUGCUUUAGCUCUGUAAUUUACAGGUUUAGUUUUAUGGGAAAGCUUCGGAAAGUCUCUCAUCAAGACGUUCUGUUAGUAUCAUCUUUUGAGAGUGCAAAUUCUAUUCGUGAACCAUCCGUGCCUAAUGACUUUGCGGAAGAUGGAUCGUAUCCAAUGUCUAUGGAACUAUCUGGUGAUGAAGGAGCCUUUGACGAAGCUCUUUUCAAGUUUUAUGUUAAUCAAGUUCAUCAUCUUUUUUUUUCUUGUGCUUGCUGUUUUAUGUUGUUGGUUAUUUUCUCUUGUUGAGGUUACUUUUAUCUUUAUGUUUUUUCAGAGAGUAAAGGCAUUGAAGAAGAAGUUGUCUUCUGCUAGUAGAAGGAAUGUGGAGCGCACUAAAGGAGAAUGAUUCCAGCAAUGUUUUUGUGUGUGAGAUUUUUUUUUCAUUUUAAUUCAUAGGUAUUUUCACUGUAAAUUGACAAGUUCUGCUACUGUAGAGAAUUGUGUGCUUGCAGUGUCAUUCCUGUAACUAUCCAAGUUUUGUUUACAGGUAAGAAGGUGAAGUGGGUGAAGAAUUGAAGUACUACUAGGGUAGGAGUAGAAGUGCUCCUAACCUGUUGAGUUUGCUGAGAUUUCCCCAAUUGCCUGCCUGCUGUUCUUAUUUCUUGGUCGUCUCCAGGUUCACUCCCCUCUCCAAUUUCCAAGUUGAUAGGCAGCUGGUAGCUGUGGUCCAGGGAGGUUUGCCGUCCAGGUUUAGUUCAAAGGUUCCAAACGGGUCAGAAUUUGCCCGACCCGUUUUUUCAAAAAGGAAAUAUAAAGUGGCUACUAGUGGGUUUUUGUGACAUACAGGUGUCUACUGUUUAUUUGUCAGUAAAUUUGAUUGUUGUCGAA